rnacentral:ncRNA from 1 species
UUACCCUACUGAUGAAUUGGAUACUGCGACAGUAAUCCAACUUAGUACGAGAGGAACAGUUGGUUCAGAUACUUGGUUAAUGCGGCUAGCUGAAAAGCUAGUGCCGCGACGCUACCAUCUGUUGGAUUAUGACUGAACGCCUCUAAGUCAGAAUCCAUGCUGGCUAAGCAGUGUUUCUCAUCGCCUCAUUUGUUACUUGCAUGUUUUUUUAGUGCCUCUUGUGCACAACAUCUCACCAACGUCCUCUGCGGCACGCGAAGGGCGAUAAUCGCAAUUUCCCACAUUUGGGGCGCUACAUCCAUUGCAGACGACUUUGGCGCAACCAGGUAUUGUAAGUGCGAGAGUAGGCUUGUCCUACGAUCCACUAAGAUUUAGCCUGCGUUGCACGAUGUGU